rnacentral:tRNA from 1 species
GAUUUCAUAGUGUAGCGGUUAGCACGUCUGCUUUACGCGCAGAAGGUCCUGGGUUCGUGCCCCAGUGGAGCCA